rnacentral:rRNA from 1 species
AGAGUUUGAUCCUGGCUCAGGACGAACGCUGGAGGCACGCUUAAAACAUGCAAGUCGAACGAGAAGCUUUGGUGCUUGCACCGAAGUGGGAAGUGGCGAACGGGUGAGUAACACAUGAGAAACCUGCCCCGAAGAUUGGGAUAAGCCUUGGAAACGAGGUCUAAUACCGAAUACCUUCUAAUUAUCACAUGGUAAAUAGAAGAAAGCUCAGGCGCUUUGGGAUGGUCUCGUGGCCUAUCAGCUUGUUGGUGAGGUAAAAGCUCACCAAGGCAACGACGGGUAGCUGGUCUGAGAGGAUGUCCAGCCACAUUGGAACUGAGAUACGGUCCAAACUCCUACGGGAGGCAGCAGUUAGGAAUCUUGCACAAUGGGGGAAACCCUGAUGCAGCGAUGCCUCGUGCGGGAUGAAGGCCUUAGGGUUGUAAACCGCUUUCAGUUGGGAAGAAAGUGACGGUACCAACAGAAGAAGCCCCGGCCAACUAUGUGCCAGCAGCCGCGGCGAUACAUAGGGGGCGAGCGUUGUCCGGAUUUACUGGGCGUAAAGAGCUCGUAGGCGGUUUAAUAAGUCGACAAGUGAAAUCUCCAGGCUCAACCUGGAGCAGCCUUGCGAUACUAUUAUGACUUGAGUGUGGUAGAGGAGUGUGGAAUUCCCAGUGUAGCGGUGAAAUGCGCAGAUAUUGGGAGGAACACCUAUGGCGAAGGCAGCACUCUGGGCCAUUACUGACGCUGAGGAGCGAAAGCGUGGGGAGCGAACAGGAUUAGAUACCCUGGUAGUCCACGCCGUAAACGUUGGACACUAGGUGUGGGAUGCGAUCAACGCAUUCCGUGCCGAAGUUAACGCAUUAAGUGUCCCGCCUGGGGAGUACGAUCGCAAGAUUAAAACUCAAAGGAAUUGACGGGGGCCCGCACAAGCGGUGGAGUAUGUGGUUUAAUUCGACGCAAC